ACGGAGCCCUAAAGAAAGCUAAAAAGCGCAGAGAGACCGAGAGAGCGUCCCAUUCGAAAAUCGCUUUGGCAAGAAAGGUGUGUAUUGUUCAUUUGUUGCUCGCUCCCUCUUGAAAAGCAAAAGCAAACCGGUAUCCAGUAUCCACAACCGCAGGAGAUCGGGCGGAGCUUCAAGUCACUGCGGAAAACUCACCGGUUCGGAGAAACACGGAUCAACGACGGUCUCGAUCUCGUGAGGAUGGAGAAACAGGAGACACAGGUCGCGGAUGGGGAGAAGGAACCUAAAGUGUCAAUUGAAGCAUCACAUUUUGAUGAUUGGGAGACUUUUGCUGACGAGAACAUCAUGCAGCAGCAAUAUGAUAUUCAGGCAGAGGAGGCAGUCAAAGCUCCAUUCGUUGGCGACAAGGAACCUCUCUCUUCAUUAGCCGCUGAAUAUCAAUCUGGCAGCCCAAUUUUGCUGGAAAAGAUUAAGGUGCUUGGGGAACAGUAUGCUGCCAUUAGGCGGGCACGGGGAGAUGGGAACUGCUUCUUUCGAAGCUUUAUGUUCUCAUAUCUCGAGCACAUUCUGGAUUCACAAGACAAAGCAGAAGUUGCUCGGAUUAAGGAAAAUGUUGAAAAAUGUAGAAAAACUCUUCAGAGCCUGGGUUAUGCAGACUUCACAUUUGAGGAUUUUUUCUCACUAUUUCUUGAGCAGCUGGACAGUGUCCUUCAGGGAAGCGAUACUUCAAUAAGUCCUGAUGAGCUCAUACUUCGCUGUCGGGAUCAGUCGGUAUCUGACUAUGUUGUAAUGUUUUUCAGAUUUGUUACCUCUGGUGAAAUACGAAACCGCUCCGAGUUUUUCGAACCAUUUAUACUGGGAUUAACAAAUUCAACCGUUGAACAGUUUUGCAAGUCAUCUGUGGAACCAAUGGGUGAAGAGAGUGAUCACGUGCACAUUACUGCCCUGUCUGAUGCACUGGGAGUGCCAGUCCGUGUAGUUUACCUAGAUCGGAGCUCCUGUGAUUCUGGUGGCACUAGUGUUAAUCAUCACGAUUUUAUUCCUGCUACUGGGGAUCUUCCAAAUGCUGCUAGCGGUAACUCUGAGACUGUUAAGCCCUUCAUUACUCUGCUGUAUCGACCCGGGCACUAUGAUAUUCUCUACCCAAAGUGAUACUUUCACCAGUUGUGGUAGAUCUAAGUUUGUGGGCGGACUCAUCUUCACAGGAUAAAGCUCGUUUUGGAGACUGUCUCGUGUACUAUGAAUAGAAGUUAGUGGCUUCAUUUCACGGACUUAGAAUUAGGGACUCUAUCCUGUGUUGAUUUGGUGUUUAAUUGCACACGCUGUCAAACGAAUCUCCGAUGGCUAAUAUGGUAUUAUUAUUAUCUACCAUGGCACUUUGAAGUGAUGAAUAUGUAUUGCCAGUAGGUGGAACUAAAUAUCUUA